rnacentral:lncRNA from 1 species
ACGCGACUGGGCUCGCGGCUCGGGUCCUACAGUGAGCCUGGCAGCUCCGCUCCUAAUGAGCCCCGGGCGCGGGGUCGCCGCUGCCCCGCUGCCGCCGCCGCUCCAAACCCCGAGGUCUUCGGCGUGCCGAGUGACACUCGCGCUCCCUAGACUCGGGUGUCUGCGCACAGCGUGCGGCCUUGCGGGGGCUGGCUAGCCGAGGCUCCAGGAACGCGUGCGAAUAGCAUCCCAGACAGUGGCCAGGAUUUCCCCACGGCUGCGCGCCUCACGCCUGCAGGACUGGGUGAGGGAGAACGACGCUGGACUUAUUUUUUAUCCUGACACCACUGUGACAAAAUUCAUCGCUAGAUGAAAUAAAUGCCCGCCUUUAUUCCAAAAAGGGCAACGUUUUCGAAAUGAUUCGGGUUUGUGACUGAUGCAAGAUGACUAGGUCUGCUGGGCAGUUUCCUAUGGGAACCAGCUAGUGGGUAGUCAGUCAGAAGAAGGAUGUGAUAGAAGAAGCCUAGAGUGUUGGAACAACUGACAUAUUAGACGUCUUACAGAGUUAUUAUCUAAACUGUUGGGCAACUCUGCGGACUUUAUUUCGAGAAACAAAAAGACCAGCACGAAUAUUCCUUCUAGAGAGGACACAAUAACUGAGUGAACCUGUAACGUUCCCCAACAGUUCUCAGACGAACUGUUCUCAAAGUACUGUUUCUGGGGAAAACUCUAGUUUAGAGACCCUCCUGUUCUAAGCGCUUUCUCUUCCAGUCAUCUCAUCAGAGGGCAGCAGAUCGCGAUGAAAAAAAGGCUAAGUUUCCCUUAAGACAAUGAAAGCUUACAGACUUCAUCCCGGGCCUUAGAAAUCAGCAGUGCACCAGAAACCAAGCGCCCUGCUCCUCCUUUUGCCUCUGAGAAAAUAAUUUCUUUGAAGAGUCGUGUGCCAUCCUGAUACAUGGCUCACCUUUAAGAAUGUUCAUUGAAAAAUAAGACAUCUGUCUCCUCCUUGAUCCCCCGCCUCCCAAUGGCAGUAAGGACAUUGGGAGCUCCUAGGACAAUGGGAAACAUUCUGGGGGUAUGGGGAAUAAUUACACAUCCGAGCGGCACCUGGAAAAAGGAAAGGAAAAGAACUAAACUAAGACUGUGUAGGUGUUUCAAAACUGGAACCACCUAACAGGGUUAUAAUCCAGAAAGGAGUGGUUUCCUCAGUGGUUGUGGCCACUUAGAGGCCUAACUCUGGGUGGGCUCUAUCGUAGUCCAUCUAAUGAUACACUGUCCGUGGGAGGUAGAGGUAUCCUGUGGCUCUCAUCAAGACUCCAAAAAGACCAGAUAACAUCAAGUUUCUUAUUGGGGUGGUGGUGGUAAUUGUGGUAGUGACAGCGGCGGCGGCGGUAGCAGCGGUGAAUGAAAAACCUUUCGUGACUCCCUUUUCCAAUAAACUGCACAGAACUGAGGAUGAGAGCAGCCACAAAACUAAACAGUGGUAGGUACCUUAAGGUUAAGCAGUGGUUUUCUGUUCCGACUGUGCCCUGGACAGGAUUUGUGCAGCCUGCCUUUACUUCACACCCCAUCUCUACUUCAAACGAAGCGCAGGCUGUGGAAGUGCCUCUCUGGGAUCUGAAACCUGAUCCUACCUUCUGUGGGGGUUGGUGGAGAAGUCUGCGGCGCAAGUCAGGCUUUUCCAGCAGAUGCCUUUGAAGAGGUACUGGGCAUUUUGCCUCAGUGCAAAGACAGACAAAAUGAAGGUGGAAGUCGUGAGGACAAAACAUCUGUAUAAGGAUCCCGACAAGUUCCUCCCCCAGAGGCUCUGCUGUUCACCAAGCCAGGAGACCUUCUUUAAUAUAGUUAAUGCCUGGCCGAGAGGUGACCGCCCCUCGCUAAAUCUUCAGCAGAUAACUAGCAGAGCUUCCUUUACUGAAAUACUGAAUUAGCCAGGCAAUGAAACACCUGUUUUUCUAAUCUUUGCGCUCAGGUUGGAGCUGGAACUGGCCUUCUUGUCUUCCAUGUCAGACACCUGAACCCCGUCCGCCCAGACUGCCCGCGCUCCCUGACAGCCCGGGACACCAGCUGGGAACCCGAACCUCGACUGUUAUCCACGUGUUCACGCUUGCCUCCGGCGUGGGAAACAAGUUUCCUGAGUCUGAGUGCUAGCCCUAACUACUUUUCCAAGAGGGAAGAGUCCCGCAAACAGGAGCCACCAGUGCCAAGCCGUCUAGUGGCCUCCCAGAGCACGGAGACUUCAGGGGCAUCCACCUCAAAGCCAAAAAGGCACUAACCCCCUCUUUUCCUGACCCAAGAGGUCUAACAGCCUUCUUCUGGGAGUCUCUCUCUCCAGAAGUGCUGGGAAGCUGGCUGGCUGGCUGGCUGGAUCCUGGAGUGGGGGCGUGGCAGGCUCUCUGGCUUCCUUAGCUGACACAAUGACCGCGUCCGUGUAGGCACAGUAGGAUCCCCGGGUGGAUUCAGGAAUUGAUGGAGCCAAGUGCUGAAAGCCAGGAAGGAGCCUUGACAAGGAGGACAGGCUAACCUUUCUUGAUCUCAGAAAAAAGUCCUAAGUAGAGACCCCAAAUCUAGGAUUGUACAAGAAGUGAACGCCAGAGAGAGGGAAUCCCAGGAAAAAGUUACUAAGGUGGAUUUCAGCGCAGCAGUCCGGACCUGCCUUGAAGUGCUAACUCCUGCUCUGGCACAGACUUCUUUCGUGCCUCCUCCCCCUAAGCCUUAGCGGCCACAGUCAUUUGAACAUCCUAGAACUCAAUCUUAGGAUUCCUGUCAGACUGCCAUAGAUACACAUGCACUGUUACAUACAUGCACUGUUAUUAAUGUGAGUACAGGUUCCAUCUUCCCAGAUGUACAAAGAACAUAGAUAUGGAUUUUAAUUAAUGGCAAGAUUAUGAUGAAAGGCUUAUUUAUAAUCGAUACAACAUCUAAAGAUGGCCACACGAAUCAGAAUGAGUUAUAUGCAGGGUACAACUAUCUACCACAGAACAGUUUAGGAAAAUACUAAGGUCUUCAGAAAUGCUAACAUUUUUUUUUCACGGACACAAGCUGAUUUUAGUUCUAUCUCGGACUUACAGGUAGAUUGAUACAGCGCUGCUGAAGUUGCUAUAUUUUUGAAGGACUCUUUGUCCCUCUCAUGGGACAAGCCUGUCAUUAAAAAAAAAUGAAAGAAAG